rnacentral:lncRNA from 1 species
CUCGGAGGUACAACAGUACUUCUCUGCUGGAAGUAUAAGAUUUCUCAAUUUUCAAUCAUGAUUUUCGCGGUUUUGUAAGAAUUUUAUUACCGUGCAACUUCAUUUUGAAUUGUGCUAAAGAAGAACCUGAGGGAAGAAGGGCUGCCUAAGACUGAGGUUCCCUUUUUUAACCUCUGCAGUGAUUUGAAGAGGAUUGCCAUUGCACCCUGAAAGUUCCCCAAUUCAAAUAUGAGAUGCUAUAUUUCUGGGAAGAGAGGCCCAAGCUAUCAUUGGUAAGCAGAAAAUGAGGGAUUUAAGUUUGAUUUACAGAUUUAAUGUUUGUAAUGCUCAAAUUCAUUUAUGUUCAUCUCAUGACACCAUACCUAGCAUUUUUUUGGUUGAGGAGGGACAUUCUGUGUGGAUUGUUUAGUCAGUCUCUCCCACUGUUACCUCCUUUGAGACACUGAUAUUAGCUGAGCCCUGCUGCAGAGGAUCCAGGGAGAUAAUCC